rnacentral:lncRNA from 1 species
UAAUGGUAAUACUGUAGUUAAUGGUAAUACUGUAGUUAAUGGUAAAAACACACGUAAUACAUAUGACAAUGAUAAGCAAAAAGGUGAACACAACUGUGCAAAACUUUACGAUUUUAUCUUUUCUAAUGACUACUAUUACAGAAAUAAAACAUCAAUUCAUUUUUCAGUUACUGAUAAACUACACAUUGGUUUUUAUAAAAAACAGAGUUAUGAUAUUUGUAGCAUAGAUAAAUGUUAUGUAAAUGAUGAACUCGUACAAAAUGUAUAUGAUGAAAUUAAAAAAGAAAUAAUACACAAUUUUAAAAAAAAUAAUAUAUAUAUUUAUAACAAAAUAAAUAGUAAUGGUUAUUUGAAAGGUGUGGACAUAAAAUUUAGUGUAUGUAAUGGUGUUGUGGCUACUAAAUGUAAUGGUGUUGUGGCUACUAAAUGUAAUAGUGUUGUGGCUACUCCAUGUAAUAGUGUUGUGGCUACUCNNNNNNNNNNAAUAACAACUACAAUAACAACAACUACAAUAACAACUACAAUAACAACAACUACAAUAAUAAUAGUGAGAAACAAAUAUUAAUUAACUUUGUCGGUUUCAGUUUGGACGAAAAAGCUAAAAACAAUUUGAUUGCUAUUGCAAAUAAUAUAGCUAAAAAAAACAAACUAAUAAAAGGUGUUUUAUAUAAUGUAGAAACUAAUAAAUUCAAACAGAGAAGAACUGAAACUGUUUUAUAUGGGCAAAAUUAUAUUUACCAUACAUAUAAAAAUUAUAUAUAUAAAAUUGGAGGUAAUACAUUUUUUCAACCAAACAAAUAUUUAAAUGAAUAUAUUAUUGAAGUAAUUAUAAAAUUAAUUAAUAAUUAUAAUAUAAAUUCUAAAUGCUCUUAUAUAUAUGAUUUAUUUUGUGGAAUAGGAUUUUAUUCAUUACCAUUAUCUGCAUUAUUUAAAAAAAUAAUUAGUGUCGAUUAUUCUAUUGAUAAUAUAAAAAACUUAGAAGAAAAUAUAAUAAUAAAUCAAAUCAAAAACAUACAAUGUUUUCAUCUAAAUUUAUUUAACAUUCAUAAUUUAAAAAAAAUAAACUUACAUAUAAGAAGAUAUAUAAUUAAUAUAGUAAAAAAUGGACAACAUGAUGCUUAUGAUGAUUUAAAACAAAAAAUUAACUCUGUAUAUGUUGCAGCAGAUAAUGAAAAUGAGUUCAUAGAAAAUUUACAGAAACUGCAUUCACCAUAUAGCAGCCUACCAAGUUUUAUUUAUGAAAAAUUAAAAAAUUGGGAUAAUAAUACUGAUCUAAAUGGAAAUAAAGAAAACUUAAAUGAAGAUAUUUAUAACGACGUAGAUGAUGAGAAGGAGGAAGAAGAUUACCAAAAAAUAAUGAAUGAUAAAUCUUUUGAAUCCGAUUUAGGCUACUCAAAUCACUCCGUUGGAUCAUCCAAUGAAUUUGUUAUACCACUUCCCAACUUAAUUAUUAUUAAUCCUCCCCGAAAAGGAUGCGAAAAAAUAUUUAGAAGAUGGCUACGAGGUAUAUGUUGCAAAUUCAUUAUUUACAUAUCAUGUAAUGUAAUCAGCCAGUUUAAAGACAUUUCUCAUUUAAUUAAUUUGGGUUAUAUAAUUAAAGAAAUAAUUCCCCUGGAUACGUUUCCUAAAACGAAACACUUUGAAUGUGUAACUCUCUUAGAGUUUGAUUUNNNNNNNNNNAAAAAAAAAUAGCUAUAUUUUUAAAAAGUAAAUAUUAUUUACACUUCCUUGUGAACAUAUGUACCUGUCCCGAAUAAUUUUUAAAUACAUUGCAUAAGUAUUUAACAACAACAAUUUUUACAACGGCUUAGGCUUAGUUGUUUUUGUUAAACUUAUAAAUGAUUUUUAAAAAAAAAAAAAAAAAAAAAUUUAGAUAUUAUAUAUAUAUAUAAAUAUAUUACACGAGUUGUUAUAGUCAAGAAUAACAUAAUAAAAAGGAAAUAAAAAUAAGCA